AGUAACAACCAUUUGAGUCUGGGAUUUCUGAAUGGGGAAACCCACUUACAUAAGUAAGUAUCAUUAACUGAAUACAUAAGUUAAUGAGGCGAACCGGGGGAACUGAAACAUCUAAGUACCCCGAGGAAAAGAAAUCAACCGAGAUUCCGAAAGUAGCGGCGAGCGAAAUUGGACUAGCCCUUAAGCUUUACACGCGUUAGACGAACGGUCUGGAAAGUCCGACGAUACAGGGUGAUAGUCCCGUAGUUGACGACGUGUGUUCAGUGAAAUCGAGUAGGGCGGGACACGUGAUAUCCUGUCUGAAUAUGGGGGGACCAUCCUCCAAGGCUAAAUACUACUGACUGACCGAUAGUGAACCAGUACCGUGAGGGAAAGGCGAAAAGAACCCCUGUGAGGGGAGUGAAAUAGAACCUGAAACCGUGUACGUACAAGCAGUAGGAGCAGGCUUUGUCCUGUGACUGCGUACCUUUUGUAUAAUGGGUCAGCGACUUAUAUUCAGUGGCAAGGUUAACCAUCUAGGGGAGCCGUAGGGAAACCGAGUCUUAACUGGGCGUUCAGUCUCUGGAUAUAGACCCGAAACCAGGUGAUCUAGCCAUGGGCAGGUUGAAGGUUGAGUAACAUCAACUGGAGGACCGAACCGACUAAUGUUGAAAAAUUAGCGGAUGACUUGUGGCUAGGGGUG
rnacentral:rRNA from 1 species